rnacentral:rRNA from 1 species
GACGAACGCUGGCGGCGUGCUUAACACAUGCAAGUCGAACGGAAAGGCCCUGCUUUUGUGGGGUGCUCGAGUGGCGAACGGGUGAGUAACACGCGAGUAACCUGCCCUUGACUUUGGGAUAACUUCAGGAAACUGGGGCUAAUACCGGAUAGGAGCUCCUGCCGCAUGGUGGGGGUUGGAAAGUUUCGGCGGUUGGGGAUGGACUCGCGGCCUAUCAGCUUGUUGGUGGGGUAGUGGCUUACCAAGGCUUUGACGGGUAGCCGGCCUGAGAGGGUGACCGGCCACAUUGGGACUGAGAUACGGCCCAGACUCCUACGGGAGGCAGCAGUGGGGAAUAUUGCACAAUGGGCGGAAGCCUGAUGCAGCGACGCCGCGUGCGGGAUGACGGCCUUCGGGUUGUAAACCGCUUUCGCCUGUGACGAAGCGUGAGUGACGGUAAUGGGUAAAGAAGCACCGGCUAACUACGUG